rnacentral:rRNA from 1 species
AUUGACCGCUACCGGGAUGCUUUACACAUGCAAGUCGAACGAGUGGCGGACGGGUGAGUUAUAUAUCGGAACGUGCCCAGUAGAGGGGGAUACCUACUCGAAAGAGUGGCUAAUACCGCUUACUAUUGGCACGGCCGAUAUCGGCUUAGAGAGUUGGUGGGGUAAAGGCUCAACAAGGCAACGAGCCGUAGUUGGUUUGAUAGGACGACCAGGUACACUGGGACUGAGACAAGGCCCAGAAUCCUACGGGAGGCAGCAGUGGGGAAUUUUGGAAAAUGGAGGAAAACCUGAUCCAGCCAUCCCGCGUGUAUGAGAAGGCCUUCGGGUUGUGAAGUACUUUUGGCAGAGAAGCGGUAUCUGAAGAAUAAGCACCGGCUAACUACGUGCCAGCCGCCGCGGUGAUUC